rnacentral:rRNA from 1 species
GACGAACGCUGGCGGCGCGCUUAACACAUGCAAGUCGAGCGAGAACCAGUCCUUCGGGACUGGGGAAAGCGGCGAACGGGUGAGUAACACGUGGGUAAUCUGCCCUCGGCACUGGGAUAGCCCGGGGAAACCCGGAUUAAUACCGGAUAGCCUUUCGAGCCUUCGGGCUCGUCAGAAAAGGUGGCUUCGGCUUCCGGCUGAGGAUGAGCACGCGGCGGAUUAGCUUGUUGGUGGGGGAAUGGCCCACCAAGGCGACGAUCCGUAGCUGGUCUGGGAGGACGAUCAGCCACACUGGGACUGAGACACGGGCCAGACUCCUACGGGAGGCAGCAGUGGGGAAUCUUGCGCAAUGGGCGAAAGCCUUACGCAGCGACGCCGCGUGCGGGAAGAAGGCCUUCGGGUUGUAAACCGCUUUCAGGAGGGACGAAGCCACUCGGGUUAAUAGCCCAGAGGGUGACGGUACCUCCAGAAGAAGCCCCGGCUAACUACGUGCCAGCCGCCGCCGUAAUAC